rnacentral:snRNA from 1 species
GUGCUUGCUUCAGCAACACAUAUACUAAAAUUGGAAAGAUACAGAGAAGAUUAGCAUGGCCCCUGGGCAAGGAUGACAUGCAAAUUCGUGAAGCAUUCCAUAUUUUU